rnacentral:rRNA from 1 species
GUCUACGGCCAUGUCACCCUGAGCAAGCCUGAUCCCGUCUGACCUCGGAAGCUAAGCAGGGUUGGGAGACCACCUAGGAAGACCAGGCACUGUAGGCG